rnacentral:rRNA from 1 species
AAAAAGCCCGUCAUUUGGUGAAUCUGAAUAACUUUGCCGAUCGCACGGUCCUAGUACCGGCGACGUAUCUUUCAAGUGUCUGCCUUAUCAACUUUCGAUGGUAGGUUAUACGCCUACCAUGGUAGUAACGGGUAACGGAGAAUAAGGGUUCGACUCCGGAGAGGGAGCCUGAGAAACGGCUACCACAUCCAAGGAAGGCAGCAGGCGCGCAAAUUCCCACUUCCAGAACGGAGAGGUAGUGACGAAAAAUAACGAGACAGUCCUCUUCGAGGUCUGUCAUCGGAAUGGGUACAAUUUAAAUCCUUUAACGAGGAUCUAUUGGAGGGCAAGUCUGGUGCCAGCAGCCGCGGUAAUUCCAGCUCCAAUAGCGUAUAUUAAAGUUGUUGCGGUUAAAACGCUCGUAGUUGGAUCUGCGGUUUUCGGAGAACGGUCCCCCGAAAGGGUGGUCACUGUUACUCCAAGCCUAAUAUUCAGUCCGUUCUACGGUGCUCUUAACCGAGUGCCUAGAUCGACUGGAACGUUUACUUUGAAAAAAUUAGAGUGCUCAAAGCAGGCGGAAUAUCCUGAAUAAGGUGCAUGGAAUAAUGGAAUAGGACCUCGGUUCUAUUUUGUUGGUUUUCGGAAUCUGAGGUAAUGAUUAAGAGGAACAGACGGGGGCAUUCUUAUUCCGGCGCUAGAGGUGAAAUUCUUGGACCGACCGGAAGACGGACGACUGCGAAAGCAUUUGCCAAGAAUGUUUUCAUAAUCAAGAACGAAAGUUAGAGGUUCGAAGGCGAUCAGAUACCGCCCUAGUUCUAACCGUAAACGAUGACAACCAGCGAUUAGUCGGCGUUAAUAUAGACCCGACUAGCAGCUUCCGGGAAACCAAAGUUUUUCGUUUCCGGGGGAAGUAUGGUUGCAAAGCUGAAACUUAAAGGAAUUGACGGAAGGGCACCACCAGGAGUGGAGCCUGCGGCUUAAUUUGACUCAACACGGGAAAACUCACCCGGCCCGGACACCGUAAGGAUUGACAGACUGAGAGCUCUUUCU